rnacentral:rRNA from 1 species
UACGGAGGGUGCAAGCGUUGCUCGGAAUUACUGGGCGUAAAGAGCUCGUAGGUGGUUUGUCGCGUUGUCCGUGAAAACUCACAACUCAAUUGUGGGCGUGCGGGCGAUACGGGCAGACUGGAGUACUGCAGGGGAGACUGGAAUUCCUGGUGUAGCGGUGGAAUGCGCAGAUAUCAGGAGGAACACCGGUGGCGAAGGCGGGUCUCUGGGCAGUAACUGACGCUGAGGAGCGAAAGCGUGGGGAGCGAACAGG